rnacentral:rRNA from 1 species
UACGUAGGGGGCAAGCGUUGUCCGGAUUCAUUGGGCGUAAAGAGCGUGUAGGCGGCCAGGUAGGUCGGUUGUGAAAACUGGAGGCUCAACCUUCAGAGGUCGACCGAAACCAUCUGGCUAGAGUCCGGGAGAGGAGAGUGGAAUUCCUGGUGUAGCGGUGAAAUGCGCAGAUAUCAGGAGGAACACCGGUGGCGAAGGCGGAUCUCUGGGCCGUAACUGACGCUGAGGAGCGAAAGCGUGGGGAGCGAACAGG